AGUGAACGCUGGCGGUAGGCCUAACACAUGCAAGUCGAACGGCAGCACAGUAAGAGCUUGCUCUUACGGGUGGCGAGUGGCGGACGGGUGAGGAAUACAUCGGAAUCUACUUUUUCGUGGGGGCUAACGCGGGGAACCUUACCCUAUACCCCCUUAGGACCAAAGGGUGAAAGCUGGGGACCUCCGGCCCUUGGGUGAUCGUAUGGCCGGAUGUCGGAUUAGCUGGUUGGCGGGGUAAAGGCCCACCAAGGCGACGAUCCGUAGCUGGUCUGAGAGGAUGAUCAGCCACACUGGAACUGAGACACGGUCCAGACUCCUACGGGAGGCAGCAGUGGGGAAUAUUGGACAAUGGGCGCAAGCCUGAUCCAGCCAUACCGCGUGGGUGAAGAAGGCCUUCGGGUUGUAAAGCCCUUUUGUUGGGAAAGAAAAGCAGCAGGUUAAUACCCCGCUGUUCUGACGGUACCCAAAGAAUAAGCACCGGCUAACUUCGUG
rnacentral:rRNA from 1 species